GGACGAACGCUGGCGGCGUGCCUAACACAUGCAAGUCGAACGGACGAGGGGAGCUUGCUCCCCAAGUUAGUGGCGGACGGGUGAGUAACACGUGAGCAACCUGCCCUUCGGAGGGGGACGACAGCGGGAAACUGCUGCUAAUACCGCAUAAUGUAUUCUGGAGGCAUCUCCGGGAUACCAAAGAUUUUAUCGCCGAAGGAUGGGCUCGCGUCUGAUUAGAUAGUUGGUGGGGCAACGGCCCACCAAGUCUGCGAUCAGUAGCCGGACUGAGAGGUUGAACGGCCACAUUGGGACUGAGAUACGGCCCAGACUCCUACGGGAGGCAGCAGUGGGGAAUAUUGGGCAAUGGGGGCCAACCCUGACCCAGCAACGCCGCGUGGAGGAAGAAGGCUUUCGGGUUGUAAACUCCUUUGACGAGGGACGAUGAUGACGGUACCUCGAAAACAAGCCACGGCUAACUACGUGCCAGCCGCGGC
rnacentral:rRNA from 1 species